rnacentral:rRNA from 1 species
AUUGAACGCUGGCGGCAUGCCUUACACAUGCAAGUCGAACGGUAACGGGCCUUCGGGUGCCGACGAGUGGCGAACGGGUGAGUAAUGCAUCGGAACGUACCUUUCAGUGGGGGAUAACGUAGCGAAAGUUACGCUAAUACCGCAUAUUCUGUGAGCAGGAAAGCAGGGGAUCGCAAGACCUUGCGCUGAUUGAGCGGCCGAUGUCAGAUUAGCUAGUUGGUGAGGUAAAGGCUCACCAAGGCGACGAUCUGUAGCGGGUCUGAGAGGAUGAUCCGCCACACUGGGACUGAGACACGGCCCAGACUCCUACGGGAGGCAGCAGUGGGGAAUUUUGGACAAUGGGGGCAACCCUGAUCCAGCCAUGCCGCGUGAGUGAGGAAGGCCUUCGGGUUGUAAAGCUCUUUCGGCCGGGAAGAAAUCGCACAGGCUGAUACCUUGUGUGGAUGACGGUACCGGAAUAAGAAGCACCGGCUAACUACGUGCCAGCCGCCGCAGUAA